rnacentral:lncRNA from 1 species
CUUUCAGCAACCCCUUUCUACCGAACUGGGGGGAGAAGUAUCACCAGUCCUUUGCCGAAGGGUGACGCUUAAAGGUAUAAAUAUUUCUAAACGAGGGAAGAGUUGGCCGGACUUCAGCUAAAUGAUAGAGAGAAAGAAAUCCUAUCAGAAACCUAAAGGAGUUCAGCGCUACAAAAACUAGAGAAAUGUUUGAAAAGCGAAAAAGAGCAAUUACAAAAGGUGGG